CUCUCUCCCUGGAUAUAAUGUGGUGUGGAACCCCUCUAACAUCUCCUAUGAUCUACUGAUUGAGAACAUCACUGAAUCUGACCUGGGACUCUACUACUGUGGGACUGUGAAGUACAAGAUGGAAGAAGGAAAACGAAUGAAAUAUAAAGAGUUGUUCCACUAUGGAAACAUCACCACUAGGAUUUCACUUGAAACCAGUCCUCCUGACUGUCUAUUGCCAGAAACCAGUCCUCCUGAGCCCUCCUCCUCCUCCCCUCCUCCUGUAGACUGUGGUCUGUGUUGAAUGUUGCUGUUCAGUCUGUGUUCUGUGUCUGCUCUCCUCUCCUCCCUUCUCUCCUCC
rnacentral:lncRNA from 1 species